UUUUGAUACGGAGGUAAUACUUUGGAAAAAGCAAACUGAUAAAGGGUCGGUUUCAAACAGUUAAUUAAGAUAUUGUUAUAUGUCUGGCAUGUAACAUAAUUAUAACAAAUUCAUGGAUAAUUGUAUGUGUUAUAGACAUCUUAGAAAUGCAGAUCCACACAAAUGCAGGUGGGAGUGUGCCUCGGUUACCUUUUCCAGGGGAUAUCAACAGACUAGAGCAAGCUAGCUCAUCCAUGGAUCACAAAUGACUAAUGAUGCACCCUUCGUGCUAGCUUUGCAUUGAACCGGUCAGACCCGAGCCAUGGCUCCCGAGUACAGCUGGUAUCCAACUCAUGCUUGGCAUGCAUGAUCGAUGAGGCCGGCUUUGCUGUCCCCCAGGGCCGGAUCGGCUUUCAUGGUCGGAUCGACUCAAGUUGCACAAAUCCCAAAUGGUACUUUUCAAUCAAAUCUUUUCGGUCAUCAUCGCAUGCAUCUGUUGCGCGCUGCAUGCAUGGAUUAUAUAAAGAGAAAAAGGAAAGCUCUACUGAUUUGCAACUCGAUCGAUCCCUAACUAACAUGAUAGUUCCUCC